rnacentral:rRNA from 1 species
GAAUCCCGUCUUUGGCAUGGAUGACCGGGGCUUUUGUGAUGCGCUCUCGAAGAGUCGAGUUGUUUGGGAAUGCAGCUCAAAAUGGGUGGUGAACUCCAUCUAAAGCUAAAUAUUGGCGAGAGACCGAUAGCGAACAAGUACCGUGAGGGAAAGAUGAAAAGCACUUUGGAAAGAGAGUGAAACAGUACGUGAAAUUGUUGAAAGGGAAACGCUUGAAGUCAGUCGCGUCGACCGAGACUCAGCCUUGCCUCGGCUCGGUGUACUUCUCGGCCGACGGGUCAGCAUCAAUUUUGCCCCUCGGAUAAUGGCGAGAGAAAGGUGGCACCCUCACGGGUGUGUUAUAGUCUCCCGUCGGAUGCGAGGGUUGGGAUUGAGGAACUCGGCACGUACCGUGCUUAGGAUGUUGGCAUAAUGGCUUUAAACGACCCGUCUUGAAACACGGACCAAGGAGUCUAACAUGCCCGCGAGUGUUCGGGUGGAAAACCCGUGCGCGUAAUGAAAGUAAAAGUUGGGACCCCUGUCGUGGGGGGCACCGACGCCCGGACCAGACCUUCUGUGACGGAUCUGCGGUAGAGCGUGCAUGUUGGGACCCGAAAGAUGGUGAACUAUGCCUGAAUAGGGUGAAGCCAGAGGAAACUCUGGUGGAGGCUCGUAGCGAUUCUGACGCGCAAAUCGAUCGUCAAAUUUGGGUAUAGGGGCGAAAGACUAAUCGAACCAUCUAGUAGCUGGUUCCUGCC